UACGUAGGGCGCAAGCGUUGUCCGGAAUUAUUGGGCGUAAAGAGCUCGUAGGCGGUCUGUCGCGUCUGCCGUGAAAACCCGAGGCUUAACCUCGGGCUGGCGGUGGAUACGGGCAGACUAGAGGUAGGUAGGGGAGAAUGGAAUUCCCGGUGUAGCGGUGAAAUGCGCAGAUAUCGGGAGGAACACCGGUGGCGAAGGCGGUUCUCUGGGCCUUACCUGACGCUGAGGAGCGAAAGCAUGGGAGCGAACAGG
rnacentral:rRNA from 1 species